AAACUAUAUUUAUUAAAUCGUUAGUUUUCAAUCGUUGGGAGUUUUUUUUCUUGCAUUUGUGUGUAUUUGUUCUAUUUUUCUGAUAUUUAUGUCUGUAAAUGUGACUCAUUCAUUAUUGAUCGACACAAAAAUACAAAUAUCUAUAACAAAUCACGCACAUAACUCAAAACCAAAAGCAAACACACAACCAUAAUUGUAUUCCGAGCUCAUCAAACAUCUGAGUCGAUCUGUAAUACACGGCAUACGCAACUAAUUGGACUAAGCCAAGUACUGUGCAUAACACAAAGGAAACCUGAAGAACAAAGAAAUCAAAUUUCAAUACUGAAAAAUCAAAAUUAGGUAAAUUUAAUGUAAGUGAACUAACAAUUUAAAAGAACAGAAGACUUACAAACAUGAUACGAUCAACCGGCAGUAAAGAGAUGACGGUCCAAACGGUUGCGUUUGCAAACAUUGCAAACCCUACCAAGAACGACAUAUGUUCGACGCUCUUAGUUCUUACAACUUUCACUUGCGUUUAUCAUUAUUUCGUUGUUAAUUUUUUUUCGUAUUAGUAAUGCGAGGAUAUUUAUUAAUCUUUGAUAUUCAUAAACUAAACUUACCAAUACAGACACCGGAGAAAACGCAACAGACGUCCACAAUAACAAAUCACCGAAGACCCAAAGAUUCGAUGAAACCUAAAGCCAACGUGGCAAAUGUAGUUACAGAUACCACCUCGAGUACCAAAAUGAUAAUCACUAAUCGCUGCGUAGAGUGCUUGCAAAAUCUAAUAUAUGCGGCCAAAUAGAUCCCCAUGAUCAAGACUCCAAUCCCAUUAGUGAUGAGGGUAGGAGUCCCAAUAAAAAAAAAGACUUACAAACAUAAUUGGAUCCACAUGUAGUAGAUAGACGAUGGUCCAAACGAUUGCGUUUGCAAUGUUUACAUAUUUAGCUUGUUUUUGUUCCACAUCAUAAAAGUAAUUAAAGAAAUUUUUAUUAAUUAAAGAACAAGUUCUCUCGAAGAUCACGAAGGAGAGAAGAAAGUGCAAUCUUUAUAGAAAUAUGAAAAGAUUAGAUGAUAGUAAAUUAUAAAGAUAUAGAUACAUGCAUAACAUAAGCAAAAUAUAUACAUAACAUAAGCAAAACAUAAGCAUAUUUUGUUUAUGCGCAUAUCACAUUAUAUAGACUUUGUUUAGCAAUGUAAACAUCAUAAAAUUGAUUCAUUAUGUAGAGUAAAUAAGAAGAAGACGGAGAAAGCGGUAAAAAAAGAUAGAUAAGAAAACAUAAGUAUAUGUCUUAAAUAAGAAAUAAUAAAUAUAGGUUAUGGUAGGCCUUGGCAAAAAAACCGUACCUGAAAACUCGAACCGAAACCGAUUCGAAAAACCGGUUUGGGGCGGGUACGUAUAUUAGCUAUUUACCCUAUUGGGUUUUAGAUUGUUGUACCCGUGGAUAUAGGAUAAUAGCCGACCCAAACCCGAUACCCGAAAGGGUAUCAACUUAUCCGAAAUUACAUAUACUUAUUCAUAGAUUUAUACAUAUAAAAAUUUAUUUUAUAUUUAAUAUUUGAACCAAAUACAUUUAUAUCCAAAUAUCCAAUAAUAAUUACUAAAAACUAAAUGUACCUAUAUUUAAAUACUUAAUACUAAAUAUUUUAUAUAUGCAAAAUAUUCGUAAAUGUUUUGGAUAUUUGGACAAAAUUUCGGUUAUUCGGGUAAAAUUCAGAUAUUUGGGUAAAAUUUUCGACUAUUUGGGUAUAAUUUCGGGUAUUUGGGUAAAAUUAUCGACUAUUUGGGUACAAAUUUCGGGUAUUUGGUACAAUUUCGGGUAUUUGGGUAAAUUUUUGGGUAUUUGGAUAUAAAAUACAUGAAUCCGAAGGAUACCCGUUUUUUUCGAGUAUUUAACGGUUCUAAAAUUCUAUACCCGAACCAACCCAAACCCGAUUAGAACCGAACCACCGAAGUUUUCUAUUUACUCUAUUGGAUUCUAGAACAGUAUACCCGUACCCGAUCGGGUAUUACCCGAACCGACCCGCAUACCCGAAUACCCGGCCCUACGUUAUGGCUAUAAGUGUAUUUACUAUACAGAAAACGUUAAUCCAAACAAAGAAUAUGGAAAGCAUGCAUAUCUAUGUAGACUAAUGUUAAGGCUAUUACAAUUGGCAACCGAAAAUUUCGUGUUAAGUUGUAAUUUAGUAUACGUACAAAAUCUAAAAGUACAAUAGCUUUG
rnacentral:sRNA from 1 species